ACAUGAAGCAUACAGCAAGUCUGACGGUACCUCCUGAGCAGGCUGGUGGCUAAGGAUCACAUGUUUCCAUAGCUUCUGUUGGCUUUAUAAGGGGACCCUAUCGGGCCCUCCUCUCCUGUGGUGCUUUGCCUCUUGGUGACAGCCGCACACCCGGAUGGAUGUGCAUGUUCAGUAAUUGCAUUAGCAACACACAAGGAACUCCCCCUCUCCUCCUCUCUCCUGGAUCCCAAGGAAUAUCGGCCUGAAAAACAAGUGUUAAAGAUAUCCAAAGGACAGCCACCCUCUGUUUGAUGCCAUGGAAGAGACCAGAGAGUCCAGCUGGCAGGGAAUGAGCUACUAGGCCAAGGCUGAAAAUUUCCUUGGUAUGGAAGAGUCAUGUGGCUCUCUAUGCAGAAAAUGCCACACAAGGUUGUCAAAAGUUGGGAGUACUGCAUGCAUCAGCACGCUGGAAUCGGGAUGGAAUUUCCACUUCCUCUAGGUGGCCAGAAGACUCUUUCCUUAAGCUCUUUAGAGUCCUGCAGAAUUCUUCACCUUUUCUCCUGCAGGGAGAAAAUGGAGUUGGCAACCCACAUGAGGCAGAGCUUACCUGAAC